rnacentral:pre_miRNA from 1 species
CAACUACUCCCUCUGUUCCAAAUUUCUUGUCUUAGAUUUGUCUAGAUACGGAUGUAUCUAAUACUAAAAUGUGACUUGAUACAUCCGUAUCUAGACAAAUCUAAGACAAGAAUNUUGGGACGGAGGGAGUACUUU